rnacentral:rRNA from 1 species
GACGAACGCUGGCGGCGUGCCUAAUACAUGCAAGUAGAACGCACAGUUUAUACCGUAGCUUGCUACACCAUAGACUGUGAGUUGCGAACGGGUGAGUAACGCGUAGGUAACCUGCCUGGUAGCGGGGGAUAACUAUUGGAAACGAUAGCUAAUACCGCAUAAUAUUAAUUAUUGCAUGAUAAUUAAUUGAAAGGUGCAAUUGCACCACUACCAGAUGGGCCUGCGUCGUAUUAGCUAGUAGGUGAGGUAACGGCUCACCUAGGCGACGAUACAUAGCCGACCUGAGAGGGUGAUCGGCCACACGGGGACUGAGACACGGCCCAGACUCCUCCGGGAGGCAGCAGUAGGGAAUCUUCGGCAAUGGACGAAAGUCUGACCGAGCAACGCCGCGUGAGUGAAGAAGGUUUUCGGAUCGUAAAGCUCUGUUGUAAGAGAAGAACGGGUGUGAGAGUGGAAAGUUCACACUGUGACGGUAUCUUACCAGAAAGGGACGGCUAACUACGUG